rnacentral:rRNA from 1 species
CAAACCCCAGGGGAAACUUGGGCUAAUACCGCAUAACAUCCCGACCUCUCCGGGGACGGGAUCAAAGCUGGGGAUCGCAAGACCUGGCGCUUGAGGAGGAGCCUGCGGCUGAUUAGCUUGUUGGUGGGGUAAAGGCCUACCAAGGCGACGAUCAGUAGCCGGCCUGAGAGGGUGAUCGGCCACACUGGAACUGAGACACGGUCCAG